rnacentral:lncRNA from 1 species
GUUUGCGCCAACCUGGAGCCCGGAGGAGCCUCAGAGGGCCGGGUCUGGGCCGGGCCAGGGCCGGGCCGGGUCUGGGCCGGGCCAGGGCCGGGCCAGGGCCGAGUGUGGGCCAGGAGCCGGGCCAGGAAGGGAGGGAGGUGGCACCAGUGGGGGCCGGGCCCAGGCCCAGUCGGGAGCCGAAGCUCAGUUCAAGCUCCUCCCGACAAUCUGUCCCGGACUUAGGAGGAACGAGUUGGAGUCGGGUCCAGCCGCCAGUUUGGGAUUGGGCUGCCCCGCCCCCGAUAUCUCGGCUGGGCUGGUCCCUCAGGCCUCGGCCGCGGCUUUUCAGGUGCUGGAGACUCAGCGGAGCUGCAAGCGGACGGAUGUCUUCCCAGCACCCACCGCCCCCUUCCGCCCACCUCAGGCAUGCAGACAUGGGAGUCCCACUGUAUGUCGCAGACUGAGGCCCCAGCCCCACUGAGGGCAAAAGGCACAUCUUUGCUUUGGGCCUCUCCUAUUCUCCAAUAGGAUUUUCCAGCUGGAAUGGAAUUCACUAGGUCAUUCACAUCAUCUCCCUGCCCUGUGCCUAAAUCAUUCUAACUACUUGAGAAUGGAUGAUAUAUUGAGGGCAUUCUCAAGAAGGUGAGUACAUAAUCUUUCUAUCCUUUACUCCUUUUCUUUAUUCAUCUUUAUAAGGGUAACUUCAGAGCUCUGAUGACACAGCAUCACCUUGGAUUCAAGAGCCAACUGGGAUGGAUUGUGAGAAGGAGCCAGGGUGCUCUGAUAGUGGAAAAGAAGUCCAAAGACAGAGAAGGCUUUGGUUUUGUUACCUGUAAUCAGGAAGAGUCCUGAUAGGAACCCACAUUACUGGGAAAUGGAUUUGAAUGUCAACACCUUUAGAUGGCGAAAGUGGAAGCAUGGAGGGUAAAGGAUAUUGGACAUAGCCUGAUUUCAGCUUGAGCCAGAAGGCUAUUCAUAAUAAUAGGUGCAUUAAAAACAAAUCAAUUGGCUAUGUGCAUGGAGCCUGCUUCCUGAAUGCCAAGGAAGCAGUCUGCUUAAUAGUUUGUCUAUUAUUAGAGCAGGCAUAGAGGGGGAAAGAUGACGGAAGCAGCAGAAGCAUUAUGGAAAAGAAAGAGAUAGAAAAUACUUAACCCUCUGAGGGUAGUAUAGAAGAGCAAAGCUUGAACUGAAAGUAUGUAAUGUAUUGGUUUCUUGACCCUAUCCAAGGGAGAAAUUUAAUGAGUUUUAUUUUAGCCUUUUAUUAAUUCAUUUAAAAAACUCAUUUAAGAGAUAUUUAUUGAAAGCCAAUUAUGUGCUAAAUAUUGUGCUAAGAAUUUCCCCAUUCUGAAAAGUGGAACCCUUGCAGGACUGGAACAGAGGUGUCUUGGGUACAUGGUUACGAUGCAGUAUAAAGAUGGGCUUUGCCCUUAUUACAUCUCAUUCUCUUCUGAUAGACUGACCUUGGGCAUAGAAUCAGCAUUAUUUGUUUUCGUAUCCUUAGCAUUUAACACGAUGCCUUACACAAAGAAGGUGCUCAGUACGUAGAUAAAUAAAUAGAUGUCGCUACUUGAUGUAAUAAAGCCCUGGUUUCUUCAUUCAGAAACAAUAGAGAUGAGGCCUAUCUUUUAGGUUUGUUGUGAGGAUUAGAAGUAAAGUAUGGAAAGCACCUAGUACAGCACCCAUCAUGUGCUCAAUAAAUGUUAGCAAUAAGAUAGUUUGAAGAUUGCUUUUAUUGAAAAGAGAAAAGAAAACCUGAUAUGUUCUUUGGCAUUAGUCCAAUUCCAAAAUCUAAAAUAGCGCAUCAGAGCUGGAAGGGACCUUCUACAAAGUCCAAACUCCUCAUUUUACAGAUGGGAAAACUGAAGCCUAAAGAGGGAAAAGGAUUUACUUAAUGUUACAUCUAAAUUAUCUACACUUUUCCUUGUAAUUACCUCAAAUCAUUGUGGAAGGUGAUAUAACAUAUAAACAUACAUAUGAGCUAGGGACGUCAUUUAAUAAAUGAGGAAAUUGACAUGGAAAAAAGUUAAAUAAUUUGCCCAAGGACCUAUGAUUCACACUAUAGCAGUCUGGCUUCAGAGUCUGUGAUUUUAACCGUUAUACGUCUCUAUUACAGCACUUAUAAAAUUAUAUUAAAAUGACCCAUUUGACAUGUCUCCUCACUAGAACUUAAGCUCCUUGAGGGCAGGAAGUGUGUGAUUUCCACUGUGGAUAGUUAUUUAUUUAUUUAACAAAUAUGUAUUGGGCAACUAUUAUACACCAGGACUUGCUAGCCCCAGAGAGCAGGCCUUAUCUUUGAAGCCAGAUUAUCUAGCUCUGUAAUGCUAUUGGUGUUCAUUUUCCUUCUGUUAUCGCCUUCUCUUUACUAAUGUCUUAUUGAGCGUUUCAGCUUAGUCUUGUCUGUUCUAAGGAGCACGAGGUUCUGUGCCCAUGCCUGGACCAGGCUGUUAAAGGAGAAUAGCCAGUGAGAAACUUCAUGGGGAAAGUGAAGUGCCAGAGAUAUGAUAAAAUCUGGAGUUCCUCACCAUUUGGAGAGGUUUCUUUUAGCAAAAGUUUUGGGGUAUUGCAUUUGGCAGGAUUUUUUUUUAAUUCAAUUUAGAAAAUGUCCUGGCCUUACAGUACCCUUUUGCCUAUCUCCCACUCAUUUGGCCUUCUAAGAAGUCACAGUCCUACCUCUACCUCUACCUCUACCUCUACCCUCUUUCCACGGUCUCCCUCUGAUGCCGAGCCGAAGCUGGACUGUACUGCUGCCAUCUCGGCUUACUGCAACCUCCCUGCCUGAUUCUCCUAACUCAGCCUGCCGAGUGUCUGCGAUUGCAGGCGCGCGCCGCCACGCCUGACUGGUUUUCAUAUUUUUUUGGUGGAGACGGGGUUUCGCUGUGUUGGCCGGGCUGGUCUCCAGCUCCUAACCGCAAGUGAUCUGCCAGCCUCGGCCUCCCAAGGUGCCGGGAUUGCAGACGGAGUCUCGUUCACUCAGUGCUCAAUGUUGCCCAGGCUGGAGUGCAGUGGCGUGAUCUCGGCUAGCUACAACCUCCACCUCCCAGCCGCCUGCCUUGGCCCCCCAAAGUGCCGAGAUUGCAGCCUCUGCCCGGCCGCCACCCCGUCUGGGAAGUGAGGAGCGUCUCUGCCUGGCCGCCCAUCGUCUGGGAUGUGAGGAGCCCCUCUGCCCGGCCGCCCAGUCUGGGAAGUGAGGAGCCCCUCCGCCCGGCAGCCGCCCCGUCUGAGAAGUGAGGAGCCCCUCCACCCGGCAGCCGCCCCGUCUGAGAAGUGAGGAGCCCCUCCACCCGGCAGCCGCCCCAUCUGGGAAGUGAGGAGCGUCUCCGCCCGGCAGCCGCCCCGUCCGGGAGGGAGGUGGGGGGUCAGCCCCCGCCCGGCCAGCUGCCCCGUCCGGGAGGGAGGUGGGGGGUCAGCCCCUGCCCGGCCAGCCGCCCUGUCCGGGAGGGAGGUAGGGGGUCAGCACCCGCCCGGCCAGCCGCCCCGUCUGGGAGGUGGGGGGCGCCUCUGCCCGGCCGCCCCUUCUGGGAAGUGAGGAGCCCCUCUGCCCGGCCACCACCCCGUCUGGGAGGUGUACCCAACAGCUCAUUGAGAACGGGCCAUGAUGACGAUGGCGGUUUUGUGGAAUAGAAAAGGGUGAAAGGUGGGGAAAAGAUUGAGAAAUCAGAUUGUUGCUGUGUCUGUGUAGAAGGAGGUAGACAUGGGAGACUUCAUUUUGUUCUGUACUAAGAAAAAUUCUUCUGCCUUGGGAUGCUGUUGAACUAUGACCUUACCCCCAACCCUGUGCUCUCUGAAACAUGUGCUGUGUCCACUCAGGGUUAAAUGGAUUAAGGGCAGUGCAAGAUGUGCUUUGUUAAACAGAUGCUUGAAGGCAGCAUGCUUGUUAAGAAUCAUCACCACUCCCUAAUCUCAAGUACCCAGGGACACAAACACUGCGGAAGGCCGCAGGGUCCUCUGCCUAGGAAAACCAGAGACCUUUGUUCACUUGUUUAUCUGCUGACCUUCCCUCCACUAUUGUCCUAUGACCCUGCCAAAUCCCCCUCUCCAAGAAACACCCAAGAAUUAUCAAAAAAAAAAAAAAAAGAACAGAAAGAAAACCUCUGUGCUUUGGGCUUUACCACUUAUUGGGUUUGUGGCUUUUUGCAAGUUAUAUAACAUGUCUGUGGUGCAAUUAUCUCAUAUGUAAUCAUAAUUGUACUUCACACAAUUGUCAUAGAGAUUUUCUGAGAUAAAUGAUAAUAAUAAUUGCUAACACUUCCUGGGCACUUACUAUGUAUCUGCUGUGUUCUAACCCAUCAGGUGAGGCACUGUUUUCAUUUCAUAUAAAGGGAUUAACAUUGAAAAAAAAAAAAAAGAAGUCACAGUCUAAAUAAAAAGAUCAGUCAUUAUAUACAUCCAGAAAGAUAACUCCCCUGGUACCAGGUCAUCAGUAGACACUAACUGCUAAAGAGGCCAUAGGAGGGAAAGAUGAGGGGAGACCUAGGGGUGGGGCACGGUGGGGCUCAGGAUAGCUGAGGAAAGGCUAGUAGUGUAUGUACUUUGUGUACCUGCAUUCUCAGACCCUGGCCCCCCUCUUUAAGAGCGACUUCUCUGGCUCUAAGACAGCCACAGACCUAGGGCCUGAGGAACCCGAAGACCCUUGCACAGUAAGUUUCUAGACAGCAAGAGCUCGAAGAAUGAAACAUUGCUGGGCCUUAAAUCUAGAAUCAGGUAUCAGUAGCUGAGCUGGAGUAGAGUAACUAGUAUGCUCUGUCCCAAGGGCCAUGUUUCAAGUCCAACUUGCUGAUCUUGCAGAUGAGGAAAGCCAGUUAAAGGGCAAGAAAAAAUCAUUCAAAUGGAUCGGGGCAAGGGGGCAAGGGGCAGGGGCAAGAGAGUUGGGUGGAGUGGAAGGACAAGGAGGAGGCAGUUUAUUUUUCUCCUUCAGUAUAUAUUUACAAAGUUCCUUCUGUGCUACAAAGUUCCUUCUGUGCCUAAUUAAACUGAGUUUUUCCAGGGCCUCUUUUUGGAUGCAGGAGGGGACAAAGGAAGAAGAGUGCAUUUUGUUGAAACCUAGAGAUAUUAAUUGACUCACCCAAGGACAUACUGUGAAUGGGACCAGAACCUUUGUCUCCUUACCUCCUAACUGCCUACAUUUCUCCAUGCCAUACUACCUCCUAUUAUGUCAUACACAGCUUAAAAAUCUAAGAUGAUUCUUCACUGUUGAAAGGGUAAAGUCCAAACUCUUGUGCCACCUUGGGCCCCUAAUUAUCCUGACACUGUUAAACUCUCCAAUUGGUUCCUAGACUACCUCCUACAAUGAGAUUUAAGCCCAAGUCUCACAGAGUUCUCUCCCACGUCACUGUCCCCAAGUGCUCUUGGUCUUCUUUUUCUUAACUGCUCCCUCUGCCCCUGCAACAAAUUAAAAGAAUUUUACAGUGAUCACUCAUAUACUCACCACUGGAUUCUACCAUUAACAAUUUCCUGGCUGGGCGCGGUGGCUCACGCCUGUAAUCCCAGCACUGUGGGAGGCCGAGGUCAGCAGAUCACCUGAGGUCAGGCGUUCGAGACCAGCCUGGCCAAGAUGGUGAAUCCCCUCCUCUACUAAAAAAUACAAAAAGUAGCAGGGCAUGGUGGCACAUGCCUGUAAUCCCAGCUACUUGGGAGGCUGAGGCAGGAGAAUCACUUGAACCCGGGAGGCGGAGGUUGCAGUGAGCCAAGAUCAUGUCAUUGCACUCCAGCCUGGGUGACAGAACAAGACUCCUUCUCAAUUAAAAACAAAGAAACAAACAAACAAAAAAACUAUUUCCAAUAUUUGCUUUAUCACAUAUCUGUCCAUCUAUCCACCUUUCCAUUGAUCGAGCCACUUAUUUUUAUACAUUUCAAAGUAAGUUGAAGAUAUCAGCACACAUCCCUCCCCCAAUACUUAUGUAUUUUUUUUUACUGUGAAUAUAUAUUUUAUUUAGUCAUUUUUUGUUUACAAUUGAAACUCUGGGAAUUCAAAAUUAACAUCCUUGCCCAUGAGCUUCUUAUAGACACCAGAAAAGGGUUCAACCUUGUGUUCCACAUUGUUCUGCUGUGCUUCGUCCAAAUGAAUCUUUAUGAGGUGGCUGCCAUCCAGUUUCACGUGGAUUCUCUUGCCCACAAUUUCGCUUGGGAAGACCAAGUCCUCAAGGAUGGCAUCAUGCACAGCUGUGAGAGUACAGCUCCUGGGAAGCUUUUGCUUAUUGUUUGUACAGCUUUUUUGAGUUGGCUUAGGCAGAAUUCUCCUCUGAGCGAUAAAGAAAAUAUGCUUCACUGAACUUUUUCUUCAAUUCGCGUACUAGCUGGACUUGGGUUUUCUGGAAAGAUUUCAGUUGAGGAACGGGAACAAAGAUUAUGAUAGCUUUCCGACCACCACCAACUUCAAUUUCCUUGGCUGCCGUAAUAUUCAGCUCCCAGAGCUGAGCCUUGAGGUCCAAGUUCAUCUCCAGCUCCAGAAGAGCCUGGGAGAUUCCGGAUUCAAACUCAUCCGGCUUCUCGCCAUUGGGCUUCACGAUCUUGGCCCUUGAACUGAACAUGGUCUUCUCCUUGCUGAGCGCUGGCGUAGGAAGAGUGCAUGUAUAUUAUUAACUAGAGUUCCAUUUUUUGUAAUUGUUUUCUUUUGAGCUAAAAUUUACAUACAAUGAAAUACAAAAUCUUUUUUUUUUUUUUUUUUUUUUUUUUGAGACAGAGUUUUGCUCUGCUGCCCAGGCUGGAGUGCAGUGGCACUAUCUCUGCUCACUGCAACCUCCGCCUCCUGGGUUCAAGCAAUUCUCCUGCCUCAGCUUCCUGAGUAGCUGGGAUUACAGGCGCACGCUGCCACGCCUGGCUAAUGUUUGUAUUUUCAGUAGAGAUGGGGUUUUGCCAUGUUGGCCAGGCUGGUCUCAAACUGCAGAUCUCAGGUGAUCUGCCCACCUUGGCCUCCCAAAGUGCUGGGAUUACAGGCAUAAGCCACCGCGCCUGGCCUGAAAUACACAGUCUUAAGGGAAUAUUUGCUGAAUUUUGACAAAGGCAUACACCUGUAUAACCCAAACCCCUGUCAAGAUAUUAAACACUACCAUCAUUCUCAGAAACUUCUCUCAUGCCCCUUCUCAGUCAAAUUCACCCUCACCUCAUCCUACAAAGAGAACCACUACGGAUUAGUUGUGUAUGUUCCAUAUAAAUGGAAUCAUACAGUAGGUAGGUAGCAUUUUGAGUCUGGGAUCCUUCACAGCAUAAUGUUUUUGAGAUUCAUCCAUGUUGUGCUGAAUACAAUUCCAUUGUAUUUGUUUAUCCAUUCACCAGCUGAUGGACGUUUGGGUUGUUUCUAGUUUGGGCCUAUUAAAAAUAAAGCUGCUAAGAACAUUUAUGUGCAAGUCUUUUAAUGGACAUAUUUUCAUUUCUUUUGGGUAAAUACCCAAAACUGGAACUGUCAGGUCAUAGGUUAAGGUGUAUGUUUAACUACAUAAGAAACUGCCAGAAAUGAUUCAAAAGAUGUUCCACUUCACACUCCCACCAGCAAUACAUAAGCGUUCUAGUUAC